CUUCGCCAGUCAACUGCUCUUCCACUUGGCUUCUGGUACCUCUAGGAUUCCCACCAACCUCCAGCCAUGAAGAUCUUCUGCAUCCUCUCUCUUGCCUUCCUCCUCCUGCUGCUGGCUCCAGAUUUCACCAGAGGCCAGUAUCCAUGGUGCCAAGAGGAAUGUAGAAAGAAAGGGGGGGUAUUGGAACAAUGUGGGGGCCGAAGGGUCCUUUAUUGGUGUGGUCGAUUUCGGUGUUGCCGUUAAGGUGUGUUUCUCUUCAGAUCUCCUGUGCAAGACCCCUGGUGAAAGGAAGACCACCCUGCUCUCCUCUGAUGCGCAGCUGCCUUGAAUCCCCCCCAUCUCUGCUGGGGAAGAAACCGCUUUGCUUGAUGCUGCUGAAGGCGAUUCUGGGAAGGAGUCAAGAGGGAGCCAUCUUGUCUCCCUGUCUACUCAUGAGUAAGCCCCACUGUAGCCAGUGGGUCCCGACUCAUGAAUAAGAGGGAUCAGGAUUGGAGCUCGUAAUUGCUUUGCCUGAAAAAUGCUUUAGCUUCUUCUUUUUAAUAAAUGCAAGCAUUGGAAACGGUU